CCUACGGGAGGCAGCAGUAGGGAAUAUUGCUCAAUGGGGGAAACCCUGAAGCAGCAACGCCGCGUGAAGGAUGAAGGUUUUCGGGUUGUAAACUCCUUUUGUUAGAGAAGAUAAUGACGGUAUCUAACGAAUAAGUACCGGCUAACUCCGUGCCAGCAGCCGCGGUAAUACGGAGGGUGCAAGCGUUACUCGGAAUCACUGGGCGUAAAGAGCGCGUAGGCGGGAUAGCAAGUCAGAUGUGAAAUUCUAUGGCUUAACCAUAGAACUGCAUUUGAAACUGUUAUUCUAGAGUAUGGGAGAGGUAGGUGGAAUUCUUGGUGUAGGGGUAAAAUCCGUAGAGAUCAAGAGGAAUACUCAUUGCGAAGGCGACCUGCUAGAACAUAACUGACGCUGAUGCGCGAAAGUGUGGGUAUCAAACAGGAUUAGAUACCCGGGUAGUC
rnacentral:rRNA from 1 species